UAAAGGAAAUAUCUUGGAGUAUGGAUUAUG
rnacentral:piRNA from 1 species